CUUCCGUCCUAUUUCCACUUCCUUUUCGAAAUUUAAAAAGAAUAAUUAGAAGUCGGCUUCGUGGAUUUCUUCCUCUCUCGCUCUCGAGUCCCUUCGUCCGGUCAUCAACAUUCAAUUGUGAUUCUAGAAACUGAAUCGAGAAAUAAGCAAAAUUCGCAGUGAGCGAAGAUUUUGGAGCUACGAGCGCAAGUGUUAUGUGAUCUCGGCGGCUGUCUCUCGCGGAAGUGCACAUUGUUUGCUCUUCUCGUGGAGGUCUCUGCUGAUCAAAGAGGAAGAUUUUCAACAUAGAUUGAAUCGAUCUACACAAGUAUGAGAAACAUGUUGGAAACAGAUCAACCUAGUGUUCAAAUCUUCAAGAUUCAGACCUACAUUGCCAAUCUCUCUUGCAGGCAGUAGGGCUUUUGGUCUGGAAGCCAGCUCAGGCGCAAGUCUAAGUUCCCACAGUAGCUUUCCGACGAUGGUGAAACGUCAUUCGUAUUGAAUGAUUCAUUUCCCUCCGUCAAUGGGUUAGUGAAGAGUUUGGAUCUCUCUCAUUAAUACCAGCUACGACUGCUACUUUGGCUGUGGGCUUCUUCCCUUGUGAUGCCCCGGACUCCGCUGUGACCGAAGCUUUUGCACUCCUUGACAGAGAGAACACAGGCAGGAGCGUUAUCGGACGGAGGGGGCAAUUUGUCAGUUAAAAGGAAAUGUUGAUGGAGGAUGAGACCGUUCGUGAGACGAUGCGCGAGACGAAUACGGUUUGGUCGUGUUCCUAAACCAACAUGGCUUGCUAUUGGGUCCGGGCCGUGGGUCAGGAAAGGCUCACCCAUGCUGGUCUCUGUCCUCGAUCGUGUGCAAACCGGCCCAGAUUACCACCUGAAGCAAGACAACAGCAUAGAUAGUUGCAAAACCCCGUGUCCUACGUCCAUUAAGCACGUGCAUGAGUACCUUAAGCGUAGGAAAAGUGAGGUUAUUAUGUAGUUUCAUUUACCAGGGCCGGUACAGGUAUUAAGGUCUUCAGCAGGAUCACUACUCGGGAGAUUGACAGCCAUUGGUUUAGAUGAGCCGAGCCGAGCCGAGCCGAGCCGGGUUGAAUUGAUCUUAAAGUGCUCCGAGAUCAACAUAGGUUUUGUUAUUGUCAUUUGGUUGGAUCAAUUGCGUCACUCGCCUAACCAAACUUGAUGGUUUGUGGGUGAUACAGAUAGCUUACAUGGCCCAUCGCAACUUGACAAUUCAAGAUGCCGAUUACACAAGCCCACCGACAUAA